rnacentral:rRNA from 1 species
GCGGAGGAAAAGAAACCAACCGGGAUUGCCUUAGUAACGGCGAGUGAAGCGGCAAAAGCUCAAAUUUGAAAUCUGGUACCUUCGGUGCCCGAGUUGUAAUUUGGAGAGGGCAACUUUGGGGCCGUUCCUUGUCUAUGUUCCUUGGAACAGGACGUCAUAGAGGGUGAGAAUCCCGUGUGGCGAGGAGUGCGGUUCUUUGUAAAGUGCCUUCGAAGAGUCGAGUUGUUUGGGAAUGCAGCUCUAAGUGGGUGGUAAAUUCCAUCUAAAGCUAAAUAUUGGCGAGAGACCGAUAGCGAACAAGUACAGUGAUGGAAAGAUGAAAAGAACUUUGAAAAGAGAGUGAAAAAGUACGUGAAAUUGUUGAAAGGGAAGGGCAUUUGAUCAGACAUGGUGUUUUGUGCCCUCUGCUCCUUGUGGGUAGGGGAAUCUCGCAUUUCACUGGGCCAGCAUCAGUUUUGGUGGCAGGAUAAAUCCAUAGGAAUGUAGCUUGCCUCGGUAAGUAUUAUAGCCUGUGGGAAUACUGCCAGCUGGGACUGAGGACUGCGACGUAAGUCAAGGAUGCUGC